rnacentral:rRNA from 1 species
ACCUCAAAUCAGGUAAGAACACCCGCUGAACUUAAGCAUAUCAAUAAGCGGAGGAAAAGAAAAUAACAAUGAUUCCCCUAGUAACUGCGAGUGAAGAGGGAUAAGCUCAAAUUUUAAAUCUAUCGGGUUUUACCUGAUCGAGUUGUAAUUUGAAGAGGCGUUUUCUGCGUGUUUGGUCAGCCUAAGUCCUAUUGAAUGAGGCAUCAUGGAGGGUGAUAAUCCCGUCCGGUUGAUCAUUUGCGUUUUACGAUACGCUUUCUAAGAGUCAAGUUGUUUGGGAUUGCAGCUUAAAAUGGGAGGUAAAUUUCUCCUAAGGCUAAAUAACGGCGAGAGACCGAUAGCGAACAAGUACCGUGAGGGAAAGAUGAAAAGAACUUUGAAAAGAGAGUUAAACAGUACGUGAAAUUGUUGAAAGGGAAACGAUUGAAGCCAGUCGUACCUUCGGGUAAUCAGCCUUUCGGGUGCGAUUCUGUGGAGUGUGAGGAGCUUAACACCUUCAUGCUUUGCAUAUUUGUGCUCUUGGGUGUACUUGCCCGUGUGGUUGGUUAACAUCAAUUUUGGUUAUCAUAAAAUGAUUGGAGGAAUGUAGCUUCGAUCUUGUAUUGAAGUGUUAUAGCCUUCGGUAAAUGUGAUGAACGAGAUUGAGGAUUGCAACGGAUACCCUUCGGGGCUACCUGUCUGGUCUCUGAUCGUUGCUCUGGUGCCGAAAGCUUGCUUACGGUCAUCAAAGUCGAUGGUCAAUAGGUUAGAACGGGUUAAAUUCGUUAAGGAUGUUGACGUAAUGGCUUUAAACGACCCGUCUUGAAACACGGACCA